ACUCCCUGUGAUGGCCCUGAAACUUCCAGAAUGUAGAGAUGCAGAGCUGUAGGCUGUUGUCAAAGCUGUGAAUUUCAGUUUCCCCAUCAUCCGAGGCUUUGAUGGGCUGAGGAACCGGAGCCUCACAUUUGACAAAGCGUUUUAAAGCACCAUUUAUAUAUUGCGCUCUCUGCCCUUGGGGAACCCUGGCUCUGGAAGUCAAGAAGAGAGAAUGUGGAGGCGAAUUGUACAAAACGUUUGAGAGGAAAGCCACCUUCAGGAAAGUCAUAGCAGCAAGAACAGGAAGCAACUGGUCAUAUUGUGUCCAGUCUGGAAGCAGAGAGAGGGUCGAGAUCCGGGGGACAGUCUUCAGCCACUGAGCAGAUGAAGCUGGCACCUCUCCAGAGCAUUGCCCGUGGUCUCUGCAGAUAUACUAUGCAGUGGGCAUCAUGGGCUUCUAGGGCUGCAUCUGGUAAUCUUGAGCAAGUAAUAUAACUGAGUGCUGGUUAUCUGGGGCAGCCUUGGGUGUGGUGGGGAUCCUGACUAAGCUAUUUUUACAUGUCUAAAAGGCUCAUUACCUGGCCCUCUAACCCUAGAGUCCCAGAGUAAAGUUUCAGCUUUACAAUUUGAGUGGGUGGUCUGAUCUCACUGGAACUCCAGAAACUGUUAGUUCUGCCAGGUGAGAACAAGACCACUACUGCAAUUUCUAAGCCAAAUCUGAAACAAGGCUUAUUAAAUAUCAGCCAGGACGAUGGCCACUGGUCAGGUCUAGACCGAGGAUACCCAGAGUAUGUCCUGAACUACUUUAGUCAUAGGCUAAAGGCAAAACAAGACUAUUGACUUCCUGUCUCUGUCCAAUCAGGGUCAGCCAUGCAUCCUAACAUACUUCCUGCCUAUGGGUAAUCAAACGCAUCACGGGCAGUUGGGGCAGGCGAGCUUGUUUGUACUAGUGAAACAUAUGGCUUCACACCAACAGUAACCCCCAGCAUUGCCACAGUUCUCUGUCCUUGGGCAAGUGGGGCUUUCAGGUUGGAGGCAUUUGUGUUUUAUUGAUCUCUUAAGUACAAUAAUUCAAACCUAGAAAUAACUUUAGCCACCACAGGUUAUCUUCUGUCUUCCCAUGGGGCAAGGUGUCAGUCCCAUGCUUGCCUCAUCUUGGAUUUUUCCCUUUAAUUCCACUUGCAGCACCUGUAGCAAAGUAUGUUCUGCUUUGUUUUCAAAUUCCUUGUUAAUAUAAACAUUUGUUUAAAUAGCCCUGUCUCUUGGGUGGAUGGAUUCUCUAGGGUAGGAGAUCUCUAAAGCCCUUGCCCAGAGCCCACAUUCAAGGAUCCUUUGUUAGGAUUCUAGGACAACUCUGAAGAUACCUCAGAGUAAACAGGGAGAUUACCCAGUACAGAGAAGGUGGGAAGGUGUUCAUCUUUUAUCUUGCAAGUGAAGACAGAAGUAACUCCCAGGAUGAAUAGGUAAGAGACUUCCCAUAAAGUUACUUUUUUUUUUUUCCAAACUAAGGACAUAACCAUGACUUCACUGCUGAAUUGCCACCGUUGUAGACAGGUGGACCAGUUUGGAGCAUAAGGAAGAAAUGUUGGAGAAAGUGAACUUCAGUAAAAGAAGCUAGAGUCAGUCACCUCAGUCAGUGGCAGACCGUGAUGAAGACUUUGGUAUGCAGCCCCGGAUUUGGCCACAGCUCUGAUUUUUCCCUACAGCAAGUCAAGGACCUUUCAUUUAAGAGAGGAAGAGGGAUGUACACAAGUCUCUUUGACAAAUGGGAGUGCAGAAUAUUAAAUAGUUGUUGGAUGUGAAGACAAAGAAGAAGAGAGCUGAUUGGCCCACAGCUGUGGUAAAUGUAGCCAGAAUGGAUUUUGAACAUAUCUGAACAGCAGGGACCAGUCAGCCAGAAGAGGAUCCCUUCUGGUGGGUGUCAAAACCCACAAGACCUUUGUCUUUCAGGAAGGUGAGGAAGAAGCCAGAGGUUUGUCUCCUUUGUUAUCUGUGGUUCUUUUUCCUGUCAUCUGCUGGCCAGGGGUCUCCUCAGUAGUUAGUGUCUAAGGACUUCUGAAAUCCAAAUGACAGAGAAGCAGGCAGAAGUUGUAAGCCAGAGCUCUGCUCAGCAGAUGUAGCAUGACAUCUCUAGGUCAGGUUGGAGAGGAGAUCCUCAGCCUGACUAGCACAAGAAGAAAAGAUUUCACACUGACUGAGCCUCUUUCUUUUUUAAUAUUUAGAAACAAAAUGAUCACCUUUGCUGCCAGGCAGUGCAAAGACUAGUCCAGCCCACCUUUCUUGAAAACCCAUGAUCUGCUUUUCAGGGGGAGAUGAAAGUGCAGGCAUAGACAAUGGAUCUGAAAGCUGCUGGCUUUUGAAUAUUCAUGACUAUUCUAAUGCAAAUGAAUGUUUCCAAUUGAGCUGAGUUUGGCCAGGUGCUGUUGGAAGUGCUUUAAGUUUAUAAUGUUGCUUCUCUGUUCUUUAGAUCUCCUAGAACAACUUCUCUGAGAAGGUUUCCCAGGUGUCCCACCUUGGACUGUAGUUCCUGCCCCUAAAGUUCAAGGGCUCUGGAUCCCCCCAAUCCACAGGACAGCCUGCCCUUGUUUAAUUGGGGCCCAGGUCUGAGAGGCCCUCCUUUGGCCCAGAGCCAGAGAGCCUUAUCACUCACCAGAUUGUGCUUCAACCAAAGCUCACUGCUCCCAGAAUAACAGAGGGGAUGGUGGGGGGUCUGCCAAGGUUAGGAGCACUUGUUUCAGCCCUCUUUGACUCUUGCAACUGUAAAUGGCCUUGGCCUGUAGCCUGAUGCUUUGCUAGGUCCACAGACUAUGCAAGACACACAACCCUGUGAGCUGAUGGUGGUUGCCUUUGGAGGAACACAGUGAGUCUUCAGUCUCUGUGGGUGCUAAGGGAGGAUUUCCCUGUUCAACAGGAUUUGUUGUGAGGGUUUCUGAUCAAAUUCUAGGAGGGGGGAGGGGGAAGGGAAGGGAGACAAGGAAAGUCACUGUUCAGCCAAGGACCUGUUUGGAGGAGUACAGACGCUGGUCCUGACCCAGGUCAGUGAAGGAAGUUUCCACAACUUCCACCAUCUCCCAGGAGCUGGGUGGUCCUCAGGAUCCAUUGGAGUGAAAGAUGCCACUUCUAGGUUUAAAUUGGUCCAGGAUCCUUAUACCACCUAAGGACUCUUGCUGAAGUAUCUCAGGCAUGGCCUAUGAUUCCAUUCCUUGAUUAGUUCUUGAAAUCUAUUCUUACCUCCUAGGCUUUCCAGCAGAACUUUUCACCCUCAAAUACUCUAUGGAAAAGACACUCCUCUCUAUGCCCGAUACAUACUUAUUCAAUGAGAAUCUACCUAUGUUUUAAACAGGUGACUCUAAGAGGUACAGUAGUCUCUGGUCAAUGCGUCUUGGUCUGUCUAUUCAGACUACCCUCCACCCAUAGUCCCCCUCUGCACCGUCAUCACUAGGGCUGCCAUAGCCUUCUCUGGGGUAACCUCACCUCCAAUGCCCUCUCCUCUGGGUUCCAAAGCUGCCAAAGCUAUGUUCACCUGAAUUCAGCCUCCCCAGUUUUCUUCCACGACUACCUGCUGUUUAAUUUAUCCUGGCAUUGUUAACACCUGACUUUCCCUGUGAUGAGUUUUUAGCUGUGGACUAGUUUAUUCUUAAGAAACACAUUGAUUUUCGAGGGCUGGAGCUUCAUUGCAGUUACUUAAGUCCUUCUUCCAUGUUUCCUUUCCAGGACUUCAUAGUUGUGGCCGAGGCCUGAUGUCAGUCAGACAGGCUUUGAUGAGGAUGGUACCCUGGUUCUGGCAGCUACUCAAGGACUUGGGAGAAACCUGUUUGUACCCCAAGCUUCUGGUCAAAUUGAGUGGCCCUCACCUUGAAAUAGACCCUGAAUAUGGCAUAGAUGCCAGGAACCCAGCUCUGUAAACGUUUAUAUGCAGACAAAGUCUCUCCAUGUGCUUUUAAACCAAGGAAGUUUCUACUCAGAAACUUAGAAGGCUGUCAUGAGAGAUUGCCAAGCAAGGACAAUACACAAAGGGAAGCAAGCAGAUUUUACUGAGAAGAAACAUCUCCCUGUAGCCAGAGGGGAGACGUGAAGGUGAGUUACCUAUUCAAGUUACCUAUUUAGCACGCUGAAACGGUUUUUACAUCUUGGGAAUGUGCCAUUGUGGUCCCAUAUGUAAAUUAGGCAUCAAACUCAGAUGAGUCUGAUUGGCUUAUUUGAAUGCACGUGGCAAAGUCUGCUUUGCUGACAAGUCCUGUGAAAGUACAGAGCCUUGGAAAUCGAAAGCUGGAGGUCAGCUGACAUCUUGGAGGGUCAGGGUGUUUGGAUUUUAAUUCUUUGGCUCACCAACUGUGCUGGACAUUUUUAUGUCAACAGCAUAAGUUCCAGCGUUUUUAGAAGAAGAAACCUCAAUUGAGAAAAUGCCCCCAUCAUAUAUGUAGUCAAGCUUAUGCUACAUUUUCUUGAUUGAUGAUUGAUGUGGGAGGGUCCAAUUCUCCUGUUCAGUAUCACCCCUGGGCUGGUAGUCCUGGGUGCUAUAAGAAAGCAGGAAGAGUAACCCAUAAAGAACAGCUGGUAAGGAGCGCUCCUCCAUGGCGUCCGCUUCAGUUCCUGCCUGAGUUCCUGCCCUGACUCUCUGGAUGAUGGACUACAAGCUGUAGCUGAAAUAAAAC
rnacentral:sRNA from 1 species